rnacentral:rRNA from 1 species
GAUGAACGCUGGCGGCGUGCUUAACACAUGCAAGUCGAACGGUGAAGGCGGAGCUUGCUCUGCUGGAUCAGUGGCGAACGGGUGAGUAACACGUGAGCAAUCUGCCCCUGACUCUGGGAUAAGCGCUGGAAACGGCGUCUAAUACUGGAUACGAGCUGCGAAGGCAUCUUCAGCAGCUGGAAAGAAUUUCGGUCAGGGAUGAGCUCACGGCCUAUCAGCUUGUUGGUGAGGUAAUGGCUCACCAAGGCGUUGACGGGUAGCCGGCCUGAGAGGGUGACCGGCCACACUGGGACUGAGACACGGCCCAGACUCCUACGGGAGGCAGCAGUGGGGAAUAUUGCACAAUGGGCGAAAGCCUGAUGCAGCAACGCCGCGUGAGGGACGACGGCCUUCGGGUUGUAAACCUCUUUUAGCAGGGAAGAAGCGAAAGUGACGGUACCUGCAGAAAAAGCGCCGGCUAACUACGUG